rnacentral:rRNA from 1 species
CUUGUACCGACUGGAUGAGCAGCGAACGGGUGAGUAACGCGUGGGGAAUCUGCCUUUGAGCGGGGGACAACAUUUGGAAACGAAUGCUAAUACCGCAUAAAAACUUUAAACACAAGUUUUAAGUUUGAAAGAUGCAAUUGCAUCACUCAAAGAUGAUCCCGCGUUGUAUUAGCUAGUUGGUGAGGUAAAGGCUCACCAAGGCGAUGAUACAUAGCCGACCUGAGAGGGUGAUCGGCCACAUUGGGACUGAGACACGGCCCAAACUCCUACGGGAGGCAGCAGUAGGGAAUCUUCGGCAAUGGACGAAAGUCUGACCGAGCAACGCCGCGUGAGUGAAGAAGGUUUUCGGAUCGUAAAACUCUGUUGGUAGAGAAGAACGUUGGUGAGAGUGGAAAGCUCAUCAAGUGACGGUAACUACCCAGAAAGGGACGGCUAACUACGUGCCAGCAGCCGCGGUAAUACGUAGGUCCCGAGCGUUGUCCGGAUUUAUUGGGCGUAAAGCGAGCGCAGGUGGUUUAUUAAGUCUGGUGUAAAAGGCAGUGGCUCAACCAUUGUAUGCAUUGGAAACUGGUAGACUUGAGUGCAGGAGAGGAGAGUGGAA